rnacentral:rRNA from 1 species
GUCGAACGUGAAAGGGAGCAAUCCUGAGUAAAGUGGCGUACGGGUGAGUAACACGUAGGUAAUCUACCUUAAAGUUUGGAAUAACCGGCCGAAAGGCUGGCUAAUACUAGAUAGAGCGACGAAAUCCGUAAUUGGGUUUUUCGGGAAAGGGAGCUCGUAAGAGCCUUCGCUUUAAGAUGAGCCUGCGUCCCAUUAGUUAGUUGGCAGGGUAACGGCCUACCAAGACUUUGAUGGGUAGCUGGUCUGAGAGGAUGAUCAGCCACACUGGAACUGAAACACGGUCCAGACUCCUACGGGAGGCAGCAGUGGGGAAUCUUGCGCAAAGGACGAAAGUCUGACGCAGCCACGCCGCGUGAGUGAAGAAGGCCUUCGGGUUGUAAAGCUCUGUCGUUUGGGACGAAAAUUCAGUGGGUUAAUAGCCCAUUGAACUGACGGUACCAAAAAAGGAAGCACCGGCUAACUCCGUGCCAGCAGCCGCGGUAAUACGGAGGGUGCAAGCGUUGCUCGGAAUUAUUGGGCGUAAAGGGCAGGUAGGUGGUCUCGUUUGUCUGGGGUGAAAGCCUUGAGCUUAACUCAAGAAGUGCCUUAGAAACGGCGAGACUAGAGUAUUGGAGAGGGUCGUGGAAUUCCCGGUGUAGCGGUGAAAUGCGUAGAGAUCGGGAGGAACACCAGCGGCGAAGGCGGCGACCUGGACAAUUACUGACACUCAACUGCGAAAGCGUGGGGAGCAAACAGGAUUAGAUACCCUGGUAGUCCACGCUGUAAACGAUGGGUACUAGGUUUGGUGGGUCUUGACCCCCGCCGAACCGGCGCUAACGCACUAAGUACCCCGCCUGGGAAGUACGGUCGCAAGACUAAAACUCAAAGGAGUUGACGGGGGCCCGCACAAGCAGUGGAUCAUGUGGUUUAAUUCGAAACCACGCGAAGAACCUUACCUGGAUUUGACAUCCUCGGACAUCCGUAGAAAUACGGCUUUCGUAGCAAUACGACCGGGAGACAGGUGCUGCAUGGCUGUCGUCAGCUCGUGGGGUGACCUGUUGGGUUAAGUCCCGCAACGGGCGCAACCCCUGUCCUUAGUUGCCAGCAUUAAGUUGGGCACUCUAGGGAGACUGCCGUGGUUAACACGGAGGAAGGUGGGGAUGACGUCAAGUCCUCAUGGCCUUUAUAUCCAGGGCGACACACGUGAUACAAUAGACGGUACAAA